UUGGAGCCCUUGGUGGUGUCAGACUUCCUU
rnacentral:piRNA from 1 species